UCCAAUAUGAAUAAUACCUAUGCGUCAAGUUCGACCAUUAAAAUUUUCACCGUAAGAUAAUAUGGAAUUCAUUAACAAAGCUCCAACAUUUAAAAAUGAAUGCAUUAAGAAGGGAUUUCACAUCAAAUUCUUUAAGAAAAUAAGCUAAUAAUUAGCUUAAAAAUGAGUGGUACCAAUUUAAAAUCAAAUCUUUUAGUAGAUAGUAAUAGGAAAUUUUGAAAUGUGUGGUUGAAAUUUAU
rnacentral:lncRNA from 1 species